rnacentral:rRNA from 1 species
AGCGAACGCUGGCGGCAGGCCUAACACAUGCAAGUCGAACGAAGCCUUCGGGCUUAGUGGCGGACGGGUGAGUAACACGUGGGAACGUACCUUUUGGUUCGGAAUAACGCAGAGAAAUUUGCGCUAAUACCGAAUGAGCCCUUCGGGGGAAAGAUUUAUCGCCGAAAGAUCGGCCCGCGUUGGAUUAGGUAGUUGGUGUGGUAAAGGCGCACCAGGCCUACGAUCCAUAGCUGGUCUGAGAGGAUGAUCAGCCACACUAGGACUGAGACACGGCCCAGACUCCUACGGGAGGCAGCAGUGGGGAAUCUUGCGCAAUGGGCGAAAGCCUGACGCAGCCAUGCCGCGUGAAUGAUGAAGGUCUUAGGAUUGUAAAAUUCUUUUACCAGGGACGAUAAUGACGGUACCUGGAGAAAAAGCCCCGGCUAACUUCGUGCCAGCCGCCGCCGUAAUAC